rnacentral:rRNA from 1 species
UUAUAAAAAUAAAAAUUUUAUUUAAGUAGUAAUAGAGUACUUGAAACUUAAAGAAUUUGGCGGUAUAUUAAUCUUAUUAGAGGAGCUUGUCCUGUAAUCGAUAAUCCACGUUAAUUUUACCUUAAUUUGUAUUGACAAUUUGUAUAUCGCUGUCGAAAGAUUAUUUUUUAAGAAAUUUUUCUUUACUAAUUUUUUAUGGAUGACAAGUCAGGGUGCAGUUUAUAUUAAGGUUUGAGAUGGGCUACAAUAAUUGUUAUUAUACGGAUAUAAUUAUGUAAUUGAUUAUUUAAGGUGGAUUUAAUUGUAAUAUAAAUUUAAUUUAUUUGUUUGAAAUAGUACUAAUAUAUGU